CCCCGGCUAACUCCGUGCCAGCAGCCGCGGUAAUACGGAGGGGGUUAGCGUUGUUCGGAAUUACUGGGCGUAAAGCGCGCGUAGGCGGAUUAGAAAGUUGGGGGUGAAAUCCCGGGGCUCAACCUCGGAACUGCCUCCAAAACUGCUAGUCUAGAGUUCGAGAGAGGUGAGUGGAAUUCCGAGUGUAGAGGUGAAAUUCGUAGAUAUUCGGAGGAACACCAGUGGCGAAGGCGGCUCACUGGCUCGAUACUGACGCUGAGGUGCGAAAGUGUGGGGAGCAAACAGGAUUAGAUACCCUGGUAGUCCACACCGUAAACGAUGAAUGCCAGUCGUCGGGUAGUAUACUAUUCGGUGACACACCUAACGGAUUAAGCAUUCCGCCUGGGGAGUACGGUCGCAAGAUUAAAACU
rnacentral:rRNA from 1 species